ensembl:lncRNA
CUGACCUUCACAGCUGUUCUGCUCCAAACGAAAUGGAUGGCCAAGCUCCAAACAAUCUGUACUUCACCAGUCCAUUCUGCACUUAUUGACUUUAAGGUUGUGAAUCAUAUUUAGGCAUUUAGUGGAACAUGGCAUGGCACUCAACACACACACACACACACACACACAUGGCUCAACAAAAUGAAAAAAGACGUCUUUUUUUGAGUAUUAUUAUGAUUGUAGUCAUUACCAGCGAAUAAUACGCUUCAGUGUAUUCGAGUGGCCACUUACAGCGCUCGCUGUGUGAGCAUUUAUGUUCAGAUUUGUCUGAACAGAACAGGAUGUUGCAAAACAUUCAGGCGCCUCUCAACACUCAGCAUGAACCAAAUGCAAACUCUUAGUGGUUUGUUACGAAACUCAUGCUGCACUUGGCAUAUCUGGCAGAGAGAAGGGGCGCUGCAAAAAUGAAACUAAACAUUAAUUGGGGCUUUUUCCUACUAAUUAGCUGUAGAGGGUAUAAUUGCAAUGGCAGUUCAUAUACAGUUAGUUGUGCUGCUCUGAUCAUGUGCAGAUUGUGAAGUCGCAGUAGUGCAGUAGCCAGAAAAACAUUGGCUAUGUUUCAAAAACUGAAUCAGAGUCCGAAUCAGGAUGAUGUUUUAUUGGCCAAAUACAUUUACGCAUGUAUAAGUCUAUGUAAAUAUGACCAAUGGCCAAAUUUCUGGAGUUUAGCAGAGUUUAGCGUUCUUUAUCGUGCAGUCAUUGGUGUAGACGGAGAAGACCAAUGGGGAAAGCAUGCAUCCAUGAGACUUACUGGCAAUACUGAUGGACAGGGUUCCAGAUUUGAGUUCCCCAAGCCAACAUCAUACUAAUCAGAAAGUUGGAGAUCCAGCGAAAGGUGGAGGAAGGUGCGGUAAAAUCGGAAGUUUUAAAGUGUACUGUACACUGUAGUUCAUCUAUUGUCACUACAAUAGUAGUCGGUACACAGUGUUUGGACGCACACCGAUUACAUCGCUUGCUGACUGACGGGAAGAUUGAGGCGAGCUGACUGACGGGAAGAGUGAGAUGAGCCGACUGACAGGAAGAGUGAAGCGAUCUGACUGACGGGAAGAAUGAGAUGAGCCGACUGACAGGAAGAGUGAAGUGAUCUGACUGACGGGAAGAGUGAAGCGAUCUGACUGACGGGAAGAGUGAAGCGAUCUGACUGACGGGAAGAGUGAAGCGAUCUGACUGACGGGAAGAGUGAAGCGAUCUGACUGACAGGAAGAGUGAAGCGAUCUGACUGACGGGAAGAGUGAAGCGAUCUGACUGACAGGAAGAGUGAAGCGAUCUGACUGACGGGAAGAAUGAGAUGAGCCGACUGACAGGAAGAGUGAGGUGAGUUUGUCAUUGUACGGCUUUGUUGUUGUUUGUCGUUCCUUUCAUUAAGAAUAAUAAUGAACCAGGGACAUGCAGAGAGUUCCUCAGGGACAGGGGUUCAAAUGUGAAAACAAGGGCUAUAUCACCAAAGAGCUAAUUUGCCUACUUUACUACUUUAACUACGUUAAUACUUUAUUAACUUUUAUUUAACUACAUUUAAAUUUAAAUUGAUUCAUAUAGCAGAAGCUUUUCUCCAAAGCGACUUACAUAUCCUUAUCCCCUGGUUGACAUUGUAAACAGACUGUGUGUGGUCACAAUAAUGAAUAUGAGAAUGACACUACUAAUAUAACCUAACG